rnacentral:rRNA from 1 species
GCAGUAGCCGCGGGAAUACGUAGGGUGCAAGCGUUAAUCGGAAUUACUGGGCGUAAAGCGUGCGCAGGCGGUUUGUUAAGACAGAUGUGAAAUCCCCGGGCUCAACCUGGGAACUGCAUUUGUGACUGGCAAGCUAGAGUGUGGCAGAGGGGGGUGGAAUUCCGCGUGUAGCAGUGAAAUGCGUAGAUAUGCGGAGGAACACCGAUGGCGAAGGCAGCCCCCUGGGCCAACACUGACGCUCAUGCACGAAAGCGUGGGGAGCAAACAGGAUUAGAUACCCGGGUAGUCCCUGUCUCUUAUAC